GUGCCUUUGAGAGAUCCUCCAUGGUCAAUAUUAAACGCUUAUCCUUUUGUUGUUUAUCCCUUUUGUCUUUCACUACUGCUGCCUGUCUUGCCUUACAAUGCUGGAGAGCAUCACUUGCAACAUCUGCUACAAACUUCUGGGUGGCAACAGCGACAAGCCUGAUCAAUCGAACGUCGGGACACUGAAAUCCACUCUUCCCUAAGUAAUGCUCCACCAACUCAUCGGGAAUAGUGGGAGUAUACUCCAUUAAAGAUGCUAGAAACUCGGAGAGAGCUGCGUCAUCGUCGUGCCUGCUCCCUGUCGCUUGUUGGCUAUGGUUCAUCUUCUUCUUAGUUUUCCCUCUCUUCUAAAUCAAG
rnacentral:misc_RNA from 1 species